CUGCCCUGCAGCCCCGCCGGCCCCAGGGGAUCGCCUGCUCGCCCCCCGAGCGGAGCGCCGGCGCGGGGUUGAAGCCCCUGGUUCCCCACGCUGCCUGCCCGCAGGGACGGCGCGGGCCCUGGCGGGGUGACCCCCAGUGAGGGUCCCCUCCGUGCUGGCGGUGCCGUUCAUCAGCUCCCUCCGUGUCUCCGAGCUAGCUCCUGCCGGCCGCUGGGCUGACUUUCCAAGCUGAACUGCACCUUCACUGGAUAUUCUCAGAAGUACUUCGGCUGCCCUUUAGGAUCAACAAGUAACCCAGACCAGUGGGAGAAACUUUGUUCUUCCAGAGAAUUGCUGUGUUGGAAAUACAGUCUGGGAAUGCCAUGAGAAAGCAUCACAUCAGGAAAAAAACAAGUCACCCACAUGGGAGUCAGUCUCACCAGGAGCAGAGCACAACCCUGUGUCUGUGAAAAUCUCUGCAGGAGAGCCUCGGUCCCCAGGCAGCCCAGUAACGCUACACAUCUCAGCCUCUUUGCAGUAUGGUGCCGAAGGAGUGAAACACCUGGCAGUUCAGCUGCUGCUCCGCUACAAACCUUCGUGGUAAACACAGUCUGAGCCAUUAAAGCAGCGAGAUCUGUAACAGCAAGAUUGCAAUGACACAUUAGUCAAGAGACAGAGUUAAAAACAGCUGUCCAGAAGAGAUGCCUAUUGCAGAAAUACAAUAUUGCUCCAGAUAUUAGCCUCAUGCAGAUGAAAUUUCCUGUGCCACAAAACUG